rnacentral:rRNA from 1 species
AGCGAACGCUGGCGGCAGGCUUAACACAUGCAAGUCGAACGCCCCGCAAGGGGAGUGGCAGACGGGUGAGUAACGCGUGGGAAUCUACCCAGAUCUUCGGAACAACUGAGGGAAACUUCAGCUAAUACCGGAUACGCCCUACGGGGGAAAGAUUUAUCGGUUCUGGAUGAGCCCGCGUUGGAUUAGCUAGUUGGUGAGGUAAAGGCUCACCAAGGCGACGAUCCAUAGCUGGUCCGAGAGGAUGAUCAGCCACACUGGGACUGAGACACGGCCCAGACUCCUACGGGAGGCAGCAGUGGGGAAUAUUGGACAAUGGGCGAAAGCCUGAUCCAGCCAGGCCGCGUGAGUGAUGAAGGCCUUAGGGUUGUAAAGCUCUUUCAGUAGGGAAGAUAAUGACGGUACCUACAGAAGAAGCCCCGGCUAACUUCGUGCCAGCCGCCGCCGUAAAAC